UUGAAUGGCGGUGCAGGCUUGAAGGGCCGAAUGGCCUACUCCUGCACCUAUUUUCUAUAAGAGAAUCCCCAGCGAGAACCUCCUUGCCUGAUCCAACCAAAAAUCCUAGAUACAUUGACAUUAAAAAAAAGACUUAAACCAAGGAUGAAACCUAUUAAAUUCAAAAAUAUAAAAUACCUGAAACUUGCCUCUCUAUUUGAAAUGAAUGGAGUCAUUGUGGGCAAAUUUUCUAGUAUAACGGAGGAAACUGCAGGAAGUUUAUACUUCACUGCCAGACUCCAUGGCAACUCCAACGUCAGCACUUUUGGAAAUGACAACAGCCAAAUCCUGUCAGGAAGUUUGGGGACUUCCGUCAUAUUAAAACAUAGCAAAAGUCUCGAACAUCCUGACAGUUCUGUGGGGAAAAAGGCACAUGUUAUCUAUAGAACAAAAAUUGUAUGGCCUUUAUUGAUCCUAAAUUUGCUUUAAACUUGUAAUAUAAUUGAAUUUCAAAUUUACUUGCUAACAACUGUAAUUUCUGUAUGGAUCUCAAAAACAAAAGAAAAUGGUCAGAACUGUGCUGGUGGAGAAAAGCCUUUCUGUUGAUUUUAGGAAAAGGCAAGAGACUUUAGAAAGAUGAUAGUGAUGUUAAUGGAAUCUUGAGCAGUUUUAAGAUGUUGCAUUUAAAAUGUUGAACUUAAUGUAAAGGAAUAAGAAAAGUCACUGAAAAGGGUGAUCAUGGUUUACGUGUUUAUGAAAGCUAACACCCAGAGUGUUUUUAAAAGGCAAUCCAGUUGAUACUAUUUGUUUUACCAAAGAAGUUACAGACAUUUCAAAUAACCAUGCCAUAUAUAACAAAAACAGUAGAUUGGUCAAUAUCAAUUUAUUGUAUAUCAUUGAAAAUGUAAUUCAUUACACUUCAGUUUCUAAAUUAUAAAAUAUAUAUACUAUGUUGGAAAUUGCCAGGGGGUUUGGGUUUCUCAGAAAUUAAACAGGUUGGGGGAGAAAUGGUAUAAAUAACUACUGUAUAUCACAUUCAGUAACAAACUCAGAUUUAACCUACUGAGACCCAGUCAAAGCUUGGCUGUGGCCUUCAAGAAUCAGGUAUGUGCAGAAUAGAACAAUGCAGGUAUCAGUAAGGUAACGGAACAAUAUCUAUUCUAGGUGUUACCACAAUUUCCUAUUGCCACCAUAUUAAUUCAGAACAUUGGGGCAUUACCAACUAUGAGAUAAAAUGAUUAUGGAUCAAAUGCACAGGAUAACAUGAUUACACCCUGACGGUUGCAUAAUUGAUUUCCUAAUUUUAGAAAUGAGAAGAUUUAAAUUGAAAUCUCAUUUGAACAAAAAUAGGGUGACAAUUCAGAAAACCAUUGUAGGAACCUCUCCCCUCCCCCUCAAAUAACAAAACAAUAUUCAACACGAUUGAAUGGAAUGGUAUAAUAUAUUCAAAUUAAGGUCCAUUUAUCUAAACUACACAUUUCCCCAGAAAGAAUCAAUUCCAUUCUUUGUAUUAUACUGGUAGAAGGUUGGUGACGAAAGAUAAAGGUUUUGUGAACAAUAGCGAAAAUAACAAAGGGUUGUUGAAUUUAAAAGAAAAUUGCCUAAUCCAUUACAGAAAUGUCAGUUUCCUUUCAUAGCGUCAUAAUAUGUCAUAAAUCAUUAUUUACUGUUUGUGUGAAUAAAAUAUUUAAAUGAUAAA